AGUGGGGAAUAUUGGGCAAUGGGGGAAACCCUGACCCAGCGACGCCGCGUGGAGGAAGGAGCCCUUCGGGGUGUAAACUCCUGUUGUAAGGGAAGAAGACAGUGACGGUACCUUACGAGGAAGCCCCGGCAAACUACGUGCCAGCAGCCGCGGUAACACGUAGGGGGCGAGCGUUGUCCGGAAUCACUGGGCGUAAAGCGCACGCAGGCGGAUGCGCGCGUCGGCUGUGAAAUGCACCGGCUCAACCGGUGCACUGCGGUCGAUACGGCGCGUCUGGAGUGCGGGAGAGGGAAGCGGAAUUCCCGGUGUAGCGGUGAAAUGCGUAGAUAUCGGGAGGAACGCCGGUGGCGAAGGCGGCUUCCUGGCCCGCAACUGACGCUCAUGUGCGAAAGCCAGGGGAGCGAACCGGAUUAGAUACCCGGGUAGUCCUGGCCGUAAACGAUGGACGCUAGGUGUGGGCGGUUUAUCCGUCUGUGCCGAAGUUAACGCGUUAAGCGUCCCGCCUGGGGAGUACGAUCGCAAGGUUGAAACUCAAAGGAAUUGACGGGGGCCCGCACAAGCGGUGGAGCGCGUGGUUUAAUUCGAUGCAAACCGAAGAACCUUACCUGGGUUUGACAUGCAGGUGGUACGAGCCCGAAAGGGCAAGGACCGCACCUUCGGGUGCGGAGCCUGCACAGGUGCUGCAUGGCUGUCGUCAGCUCGUGUCGUGAGAUGUUGGGUUAAGUCCCGCAACGAGCGCGACCCCUGCUUCCAGUUGCCAUCAGGUCAAGCUGGGCACUCUGGAGGGACUGCCGGCGACAAGUCGGAGGAAGGCGGGGAUGACGUCAAGUCAUCAUGGCCCUUAUGUCCAGGGCGACACACGCGCUACAAUGGCCGGCACAGAGGGAGGCAAGCCCGCGAGGGUGAGCAGAUCCUGUUAAAGCCGGUCUCAGUUCGGAUCGCAGUCUGCAACCCGACUGCGUGAAGCCGGAAUCGCUAGUAAUCGCGGAUCAGCCAUGCCGCGGUGAAUACGUUCCCGGGCCUUGUACACACCGCCCGUCACACCACCCGAGUUGGGUGUUCCCGAAGCCGCUCUUCCCAACCCGCAAGGGUGGCUGCUGUCGAAGGUGGGGCCGGUGAUUGGGGUG
rnacentral:rRNA from 1 species